rnacentral:lncRNA from 1 species
UCAGAAGCCAAUCACAACGCGACACGUGUCAACAUCAGAAGCCAAUCACAACACGACACGUGUCAAUAUUAGAACAAAACUAGAAACUCUAUUCUAUAAAUAGGGAUCAUUCUCCCACAAUAAUCUUUAAUGUCAUUUUGUACUAAACUAUUCACUAGAACUCACUAAACCAGAGCUUGAACCUAUGUAUUUGUGUAAACCCUUCACAAUUAAUGAGAACUCCUCUACUCCGUGGACGUAGCCAAUCUGGGUGAACCACGUACAUCCUGUGUUUACUGCUCUGUCUCUAUUCAUUUACGUACUUAUCCUCACUAGUGACCGAAGCAACCAAACGAAGGUCACAAAACCUGACACUUUCUGUUGUACCAAAGUCAUAGCUGAUUUUGUGCAUCAAUAGAACUAAAUGAAAUGAAAAUCCAAUUCUCAUUAAAGAGACAAAACAAUUUUGUUCUCAUCCUUUUGGGUCAAUAGGAAACUAUGACCACAACAAUUGGGCCAUAAUGCAAAUACAAAAACUUUUGGGGUCACUUUGUAAAAACACAAUAGUCCACAACUUCAUGUAAUUAAACUAGAUCCCAAAAUUUUAAUAAUGUAAAAACAUCAUUAAAGGAUCAAAACAAUUUGUCCUUUAGAGUUUUAGGGCCUUAACGUAAAAACGUAAACUUUUGGGCCAAAAUGUAAAUACACAAUAGUAUCUAAAACUUUAUGUAAUUGCACAAAAGGCCCCAAAAGUACCCCCACUAAGGGUGGCCGGCCAUUUAAUGAAAAAUUGAAAAAUUUCUAAAAAGUUUUUGCAAGUUGAUUUUGGUGGGUGAGGUAAAGGUGAUUUGGAUAGGUUUGUAAGAGAUUUUUUGUCAAACGUAAAAACCAACAAUAAUACUUCACCAAUAAACAUCACCCAUCAAUAAUAAAUCAAUAAUAUACCAAAACUUUAUGAAAAACAUAAAACUUUUGAAUCAUAACUUCAAAACUUUAUGUUCUUGGCAAGAACUUCAAGAACAUUGAAGAACACCAUGAAAACUCAUAAUAGCUCCAUGAAUGUUUUCAAUCAUCAAAACUGAAUUUUUCACCUCUCAAAAGAGGGCUAAUAUCCUAGGGUACUUAGGGGUUCCAAAAGUCACCUUAAAACCAUUUUAACAAGACAAACAUGAACCCAAAAAGUCACCCUAAGGAUUUGGCCGAAUUUCCCAAAAUACAUGGCACCAAAUUUUAGUUCCAAUAUUCAUGCUUGAAUGAAAUACAUCUACAACAUUUGAGAUGCUAAAUUUUCUAGCAAAAUUUAUAUAUUCAAAAGCAAGAAUAAAGUUUGUAACAUUUACAACAUUUAAAUCACAAAAUAUGAACAUCACAAAACCCAAAAGGAUUCACCAUACACUAGGCCUAGGCUCUGAUACCACUUGAAGGAAAAAAUUUGUCCUAGCUAAGAACAAGUAUGAACAUUUGAAUACACAUGCAAGCUAUUAACACUUUAAAGUAGGCAUGCAUUAAAAAACAAUUCAUAAAACCCAUGACUUUCAAAGCCUAGUAUAUGGUGAACCAAAAUAAACUCUUUAACAACAUUAAAGAGAAGUAAAGAUUA